UUCGCAAGGCAUGCUGGGCAUGCUAACCUUCCUUUUUUGGCGGUUUUACCUCGUAGUAACUUUCCAGAAAAACGAAAGGGUUAUGAUGAGAGAUUAUGUCAUACCCUGGCACAUGCUUUGUCCAAUGGACCAUGGAAGGGACUUUACUUGGCUGACGAGGACGCACCUCACCAGUAUCAGAGCAACAGCUGUGGGGUGUUCAUGCUGAUGGUGAGAUGCAUUAUUUUCAGAAAUGAUGACUGAUGACUAGUUUGCAAAACAACUAACUCAUUUGUAUGUUAAUUUCGGUACGCAAUGUAUUCUACCCUCCAAAAGCAAUAUGAUAUCAGUGAGGUGAGUUCUUUCAAAUCUCAAUCAGAUGUGUAGCAUGAAAUAUAAGGCUUUUAAUAAUUUAGUCAUCCUAUCUGGAGGCUACAAUUAACAUGCAUCAAUAGGUCAUAUACCUUACUUUGUCUUCAGGUACUGCACUUACGGGAGGAGAUGGCUACAUCUUCACAAUAAUUUACACUGCCAUAGUACACUGCUAAACAGUACUGUAACAUGGAUUUGUAUCAGGCUAUGAAGUCAUUUAAAGCAUAACUUUACUUUUCAGGGGGAUGCUCUCUAUCAGGAGGUGGUGGUUGGACAGCUGUUGGAGACCUUUAUGCUUGAAAGCCCUGCAGAACUAGCUGGCUCCUUCUCACCCUCUCCAUCUCCCCAUCUCAGUUACACCUUCCAAUCACUAAGCAGUGAAAGCCCUGCAGGACUAGCUGGCACACCAAGCUCACCCUCUCCAUCUCCCCACCCAUGUUUAUUAACUUAAAUUUUUUAUUUUUGAAUAGACAAGCAAGGAGAGGGCACGGAUUGCUCCGUCGGCCCCGGCGUCUCCUCCGUCGGUCCCGGCGUCUCCAGCGCCCUUCGGAUUUGACCAUUUGCGAUGUCCUCUAACAACGCUAACGCAGCCAUUUUUAAAAAAGAAAAUCUUCAUCCAUUGCGCAUGCUUUUAUAGCCACCCAUAUAAUUGCAAGGUGUGUUAAUUGUUCAUUAGUGUGUCUCUGAUGUGCAAAUCACUCUGAGUCAUUGUUUUCACCUUUUUUCCCAGUUUCCCAGCGUCACCUCUAAGUGUCGCCAAAGGAACUAUAGCUGUAGAAACGUGCGUACGACAGCUCUGGAGCUGGCGUGGGGACGAGAAGGGUCCAGCUGCAGGCUUGGGCGUUCCCGUCAUGACACAAAAACGCCCAUCGGGCGUUCCCGUCAUGACACAAAAACGCCCAUCAGGCGUUCCUGUAGCGUUUCAUCGAUCACUCAAGAAGAGGUGAGUGAGUUUCGCAAGGCAUGCUGGGUAUGCUACCCUUCCUUUUUUGGCGGUUUUACCUCGUAGUAACUUUCCAGAAAAACGAAAGGGUUAUGAUCAGAGAUUAUGUCAGUAAGUAUGAUAUUGUUUAAUUGACAACAUUGGCUGUGAAGUAUUCUCAUUUAAAUCACUGAUAAGCUGUGGUAUCGUUGUAUCCGAAUUCGAAUCGGAUAUAAAUACUCGUGACAAGCAUGGUUCGGUGGCAGCGAAUGCUAUGCUAUCGUCCAUAAACGUUGAAUAUACUAUUCAGAAAUCAGCAACGUUUAAGACGGUUUGUAGGUAGGGUAAAGUUUGCAGCGAAGGCUUUGCCGAUUAUUUUACUGUGAGGUUAACAUUACCAAAGUACAUUGUUAAGUUGGAUGUUAAGGUGUCAGCUGGCAUGGUAAGAGGCAUGAAAUCGCGGCCACUCUGCUUCGUUGUGGUGACACACGCAUCGGAUUAAACUGUGCAUGUAAACGUACUAGUACGUCUAAACUAACUAGUAUGUUUACAUGCAUGGCAUAUCAGAGAAUUCUGUCAGUUCGGUCGCGGCGCAACGAAUGAAUAAAGAUCGUUAGCACUCUGAAAAACAGAUGACAGAUGUGCCCUCAGUUACUACUUUAUUACCUCGUUGAUGACCAACGUUUAGGAAAACAUGUACUUUUAAUUCACCCUUGGGUGAAAUCGAAGCGUAGUGUGUACUGAAUGCGUGUUGAUGAUGAUGCAUAUGAAUUGCAACUUACACGUCUUCCAAACCUUUUCAGUACCCUGGCACAUGCUUUGUCCAAUGGACCAUGGAAGGGACUUUACUUGGCUGACGAGGACGUACCUCACCAGUAUCAGAGCAACAGCUGUGGGGUGUUUAUGCUGAUGGUGAGAUGCAUUAUUUUCAGAAAUGAUGACUAGUUUGCAAAACAACUAACUCAUUUGCAUGUUAAUUUCAGUACGCAAUGUAUUCUACCCUCAAAAGCAAUAUGAUUUCAGUGAGGUGAGUUCUUUCUAAUCUCAAUCAGAUGUGUAGCAUGAAAUAUAAGGCUUUUAAUAAUUUAGUCAUCCUUACUGGAGGCUACAAUUAACAUGCAUCAUAGGUCAUACACAUUACUUUGUCUUCAGGUACUGCACUUACGGGAGGAGAUGGCUACAUCUUCACAAUAAUUUACACUGCCAUAGUACACUGCUAAACAGUACUGUAACAUGGAUUUGUAUUGGGCUAUGAAGUCAUUUAAAGCAUAAUUUUACUUUUCAGGGGGACAUGCUCUCUAUCAGGAGGUGGUGGUUUGACAGCUGUUGGAGACCUUUAUGCUUGAAAGGCUAGCCCUGCAUAACUAGCUGGCUCCUUCUCACCCUCUCCAUCUCCCCAUCUCAGUCACACCUUCCAAUCACUAAGCAGUGAAAGCCCUGCAGGACUAGCUGGCACACCAAGCUCACCCUCUCCAUCUCCCCAUCUCAGCCACACGCUCCAAUCUGGCACAACAGAGGACAGGCCAUUCUUACCACCCGAAGUCCUUCAGCAAUUUGUACAAGAGACGCUGAGACUGGACAUGGCGAUGCUUGGCGUGUUCAACAGGGUUUCAAACACAUUCCGAGAACUUAUCAAGCCUCUCCAUCAUUCCAUAUAUAUAAAUGACAAUUUGGCAGGGGACAUUAAGCUUAAUAAAGACAAUCUCAUAUACAUAACGGUUAGAAAGAUGUACAACAAUGCAGGCUGUGUCAGUGGCCUUGCGCUACGCCUCAAAGGCUUCUCAAAAAAGAAGAAUUGGCCUAGCGCACCCCUGGUACUGAGGCACGUUGCAUAUGCCAGGUUUGUCAUAAAAGAUGUCUGCCUAGCAUAAUGUUCUUUUAUUACUCCUUUUUCGUUUUAUUUGGGACGUCUUUUUUUGCAAUCCCUUUCAUUUGUAAAUGUACAUACUACUGUAGUAAAUGUAUCUGCCCAGAAAUGCUGGUAUUUUAUUACUCCUUUCUUUUUUGUUUUUGUGACAAAUGCUAUACGAUGCAUGUAACAUACAUUUGUGCCUACGAUGUAUGUUGUAAGGUUAAUUG